rnacentral:rRNA from 1 species
CACGUAGGGGGCGAGCGUUGUCCGGAUUUAUUGGGCGUAAAGAGCUCGUAGGCGGCUCAGUAAGUCGGGUGUGAAACCUCCAGGCUCAACCUGGAGACGCCACCUGAUACUGCUGUGACUCGAGUGCGGUAGGGGAGCGGGGAAUUCCUGGUGUAGCGGUGAAAUGCGCAGAUAUCAGGAGGAACACCAGUGGCGAAGGCGCCGCUCUGGGCCGUGACUGACGCUGAGGAGCGAAAGCGUGGGGAGCAAACAGG